UACGUAGGGUGCGAGCGUUGUCCGGAAUUACUGGGCGUAAAGAGCUCGUAGGUGGUUUGUCGCGUUGUCCGUGAAAACUCACAACUCAAUUGUGGGCGUGCGGGCGAUACGGGCAGACUGGAGUACUGCAGGGGAGACUGGAAUUCCUGGUGUAGCGGUGAAAUGCGCAGAUAUCAGGAGGAACACCGGUGGCGAAGGCGGGUCUCUGGGCCGAUACUGACGCUGAUGCGCGAAAGCGUGGGGAGCAAACAGG
rnacentral:rRNA from 1 species